rnacentral:lncRNA from 1 species
UCGAAAAUCAAACCUUAUUUGCCACAGGAGAACUCACACUGGAGAGAAGCCCUUCAAAUGUAAAGAAUGUGGCAAAGCUUUCAGUCGAAUAUCAUACCUUGUUUGCCACGGAAGAACUCAUACUGGAGAGAAGCCCUACAAAUGUAAAGAAUGUGGAAAAGCUUUCAGUCACAAAGAAGGCCUUAUUUACCACAGCAGAAGUCACACUGGGGAGAUGUCCUACAAAUGUAAAGAUUGUGGCAAAGCUUUUGGUCACAAAUCACACCUUGUUAACCACAGCAGAACUCACACUGGAGAGAAGCCCUAUAAAUGUAAAGAUUGUGGCAAAGCUUUUGGUCAAAAAGCAUACCUUAUUUACCACAGCAGAAUUCACACUGGAGAGAAGCCCUACAAAUGUACAGAAUGUGGCAAAGCUUUUGGUCACAAAUCACACCUUGUUAACCACAGCAGAAGUCACACUGGAGAGAAGCCGUACAAAUGUACAGAAUGUGGCAAAGCUUUUGGUCACAAAUCACACCUUGCUAACCAUAGCAGAACUCACAGUGGAGAGAAGCCCUACAAAUGUACAGAAUGUGGCAAAGCUUUUGUUGCCAAAUCAAACCUUAUUCACCACAGGAGAACUCACAGUGGAGAGAAGCCCUACAAAUGUACAGAAUGUGGCAAAGCUUUUGUUGCCAAAUCAAACCUUAUUCGCCACCACAGAACUCACUGGAGAGAAGCCCUACAAAUGUAAAGAAUGUGGCAAAGCUUUCACUCAGAAAACAGGCUUUAUUUGCCACAGGAGAACUCACACUAGAGAGAAGCCUUACAAAUGCAAAGAAUGUGGCAAAGCGUUCAGUCAAAAAUCACACCUUAUUUGCCACAACAGAACUCACACUGGAGAGAAGCCUUACAAAUAUAAGGAAUGUGGCAAAGCUUUUAGCAAUAAAACAGGCCUUAUUCACCACAACAGAACUAACACUGAAGAAUAGCCCUACAAAUGUAAAUAAUGUGACAACACUUUUUAAUAAAAAAUAAAACUUUAUUCACCACAACAGAAGACAUCCUGGUGAAUGUGAAAUGUGAAUAAAGUGAUAAUAACUUUUAAAGAAAAACUAAACCUUGGGGCUGGGGUUGAGGUUUAGUGAUAGAGUGCUAGCCUCGCAUUUGUGAGAUCCUGGUUCAAUCCUCAGUACCACAUAAAAAUAAAUAAGUGAAAUAAAGGUAUUUUGUCCAACUACAACUAAAAAAAUAAACAUUAAAAAAAUGACUAAACCUUAUUAACAACAGAAUUUAUACAGAAAAGAACCCGUACAAAUUAAAACAAUGCAGCAAAUCUCUUAAUAAGAAAUCAAUUCUUAUCACCACUAGGCU